UUGCGCAACAGGUAGUUGAGUUAGCAAUAUUCGCAAUCAUUCACUCGUCGGCUCGCCGUACUAUUUAUCUCAGUUUCAAGGCCCGGACGACAUGUCCACGCCGACUCACUCAAUCAGGUGAGCGGCCGCCGCCGAUCCAACAGGGUCGUUUCGGCACCCGGGUCCGCACUGUCCAAUCAGACGGGCGAUAAAGGCGGCGACACAAUUGCCAGCACAGGACAACAUUCCCGAAGGGAGGCCGAGAGGCCUCCCU
rnacentral:sRNA from 1 species